CAUAGCACUUUCAGUACAAGGAAGAUAACUUAAAGCAUAUUAUACCUGUGAUACUUUAAAAGUUUAUAUAGAUUUAAAGUUAUAUAAGUUAAAUUUUUGUAGAAAGUUCAUUAUUUAUUUAUUUAUUUAUUUUCUUUUGUUACAUAAGUCCAUUGCAGAGAAUGAUACUUGCUAGAGUCAACAAAUAUCCGUUAAGAUUGUCACAGAAUAUGCACCUGUUUGGAUCGGCCAUUAAUAAAUCUGAUAAAAUGUUUCCAAUGGCAAUGUUAUUGGCUUCCACGGGAUUGUUGCUCUCCAUGUUCAGUGUACACCAGAUGGAUUGUUCUAUUCAACCUAAGAAAAGAUGGUUCGACAAAUUCAGACCAACUUAAUGUGUAAAUAUUUGUACAAGCAACAUCAUUUAUUUAGACUAGUGCAUAAAGACUUUGAACUAGGAUUGACAUGUUGGGUUUGACAUGUUGAAACCUUUCAUUGUCUCUCUCAAUUAAUCCAUCAUCCUGCUUAAACCAAGCUGCUCAAUGGUGUAUUGUUGGAUUUAGCAAUCUCUUCUGCAAUUUUUGUGUGUGUCUUUUAGGUUUUUUAUUUAAUUAUUAUGUAUUUUGUUCUUUAAAAGUUGCAUGUACAGGUUAAAAGUUUUGAACCAAAAUUUUCAUGUUGUACAGAUAUAUAAAAAUAAAUAGUUGUUCAAUGAUCA